rnacentral:rRNA from 1 species
GAUGAACGCUGACAGAAUGCUUAACACAUGCAAGUCAACUUGAACUUCGGUUUGGGUGGCGGACGGGUGAGUAACGCGUAAAGAACUUGCCUCACAGCCAGGGACAACAUUUGGAAACGAAUGCUAAUACCUGAUAUUAUGAUUAUAUGGCAUCGUAUAAUUAUGAAAGCUAUAUGCGCUGUGAGAGAGCUUUGCGUCCCAUUAGCUAGUUGGAGAGGUAACAGCUCACCAAGGCGAUGAUGGGUAGCCGGCCUGAGAGGGUGAUCGGCCACAAGGGGACUGAGACACGGCCCUUACUCCUACGGGAGGCAGCAGUGGGGAAUAUUGGACAAUGGACCGAGAGUCUGAUCCAGCAAUUCUGUGUGCACGAUGAAGUUUUUCGGAAUGUAAAGUGCUUUCAGUUGGGAAGAAAAAAAUGACGGUACCAACAGAAGAAGCGACGGCUAAAUACGUG